rnacentral:misc_RNA from 1 species
UCCGGUUUGUCACCGGCAGUCUCCUUAGAGUUCCCGCCAUUACGCGCUGGCAACUAAGGACAAGGGUUGCGCUCGUUGCGGGACUUAACCCAACAUCUCACGACACGAGCUGACGACAGCCAUGCAGCACCUGUGUUCUGAUUCCCGAAGGCACUCCCGCAUCUCUGCAGGAUUCCAGACAUGUCAAGGCCAGGUAAGGUUCUUCGCGUUGCAUCGAAUUAAACCACAUACUCCACCGCUUGUGCGGGCCCCCGUCAAUUCCUUUGAGUUUCACGCUUGCGCGCAUACUCCCCAGGCGGUCGACUUAACGCGUUAGCUUCGAUACUGAGCACCAAAGUGUGCCCAACAUCCAGUCGACAUCGUUUAGGGCGUGGACUAC